rnacentral:rRNA from 1 species
ACUCCUACGGGAGGCAGCAGUGGGGAAUAUUGGACAAUGGGCGAAAGACCUGAUCCAGCCAUGCCGCGUGUGUGAAGAAGGUCUUCGGAUUGUAAAGCACUUUAAGUUGGGAGGAAGGGCAGUAAAUUAAUACUUUGCUGUUUUGUACGUUACCGACAGAAUAAGCACCGGCUAACUCUGUGCCAGCAGCCGCGGUAAUACAGAGGGUGCAAGCGUUAAUCGGAAUUACUGGGCGUAAAGCGCGCGUAGGUGGUUUGUUAAGUUGGAUGUGAAAUCCCCGGGGCUCAACCUGGGAACUGCAUUCAAAACUGACUGACUAGAGUAUGGUAGAGGGUGGUGGAAUUUCCUGUGUAGCGGUGAAAUGCGUAGAUAUAGGAAGGAACACCAGUGGCGAAGGCGACCACCUGGACUAAUACUGACACUGAGGUGCGAAAGCGUGGGGAGCAAACAGGAUUAGAUA